rnacentral:misc_RNA from 1 species
GUAGGUGAACCUGCGGAAGGAUCAUUAAAAAUGUUAGCUCACAACAACAAAAAGGACAAGAGGUCGGGAUACACACACAAUGUGUUGUCUUGAAAGCUCUCUUUUUUUGUGUGAGCAUCAACAAACAAAAAAACUCUGUGCAAUUUUGUGUUCUUUUCUUUCGAAAAGACCGCAUCCUUUUCUUCCUUUCUUGUUCGUUGGUUUUGUGAGAGGUGUUGUUUUUCUUUCUCUGAGAGAGACAACCGACUCC